rnacentral:lncRNA from 1 species
CCAGGCUGUUGUCUAUUAUCAGCAAUACUGCUUUUACGACUUUGGACUACACUUCCCACAAGGCACUGCGGGUUGCUUAUCCGUCUCCCUCGCACAAACCUGGCCGCCUCUUGUGAUUUGGGGUUUCUUAGAGUAGAUUGUUGUCACUUGGACCCAAAUAAGCUCACACCUGGACUUGUCAUUUUUAAGCCUGAUGUCAUCUUCUUAUUGGAGCAAGGGAAAGAGCGAUGGAUGGUUACAAAUUAUAUGACACAUCCUUGGCACCCAGACUUGAAGACAAAGUGCGAGAGAGUUCCCGGGAAAGGGCUCUUUGAAUAGAGUCAUUCAAAUGGGAGGUAACGGGAAGCCAGCAGCACCGUGACUUUCAGGACCCUCACCUCACAGAUGCCUGGGCGUGCAGAGACCGCUGUGAGAGACAGCGCACAAGUCAGGAGUGUCAUUUCAAGCAAGUGGAAACCCCCGGAAAGUGUCCCUGCUCUCCAGCGUCACACACCGCAUGGAAGCGGCAGGACUGCAGUAGAGAAAGCGACCUGACCGGAUGCAGUGAGCUCGAGGAAGCGGGGAAGCGUUUAGCUGUGGCUUGAGCCUUACUCAGCAACUCAGCAGUUGAAAAGCCCUUUGAGUGUAAGGGGUGUGGGAGAGCUUUUGCUCAGGCCUCGCACCUUGUCCAGCAUCAGAGAAU